rnacentral:rRNA from 1 species
GACGAACGCUGGCGGCGUGCCUAAUACAUGCAAGUAGGACGCAGUUGCGAACGGCUGAGUAACGCGUAGGUAACUACCUAUUAGAGGGGGCUAACUAUUGGAAAAGAUAGCUAAUACCGCAUACUAGUAGAUGGACCUGCGUUGUAUUAGCUAGUAGGUAGGGUAAUGGCCUACCUAGGCAACGAUACAUAGCCGACCGUGUAGGGGGAGCUGCAACACCGGGACUGCUACACGGCCCAGACUCCUACGGCGGGCAGCAGUAGGGAAUCGUCGGCAAUGUGGGGAACCCUGACCGAGCAACGCAGAGGUAGUGAAGAGGGUUUUGGGAUCGUAGUGCUCUGUUGUUAGGGAGUCGGUACUUAACCAGAAAGCGACGGCUAACUACGUGCCAGCAGCCGCGGUAAUUC